rnacentral:rRNA from 1 species
GACGAACGCUGGCGGCGUGCCUAAUACAUGCAAGUCGAACGCAGUGGGGACGGGUGAGUAACACGUGGGUAACCUCCCAUCAGAGGGGAUAACACUUGGAAACAGGUGCUAAACCGAUACUGAUUGAUGUACCUGCGGUGCAUUAGCUAGUUGGUGAGGUAACGGCUCACCAAGGCGACGAUGCAUAGCCGGCCUGAGAGGAGGAUCGGCCACACUGGAACUGAGACACGGCCCAGACUCCUACGGGAGGCAGCAGUAGGGAAUAUUGGGCAAUGGGCGAAAGUCUGACGGAGCCACGCCGCGUGAGUGAAGAAGGUUUUCGGGUCGUAAAGCACUGUUGUUAGAGAAGCGGUAUCUAACCAGAAAGCAACGGCUAACUACGUGCCAGCAGCCGCGGUAAUAC